CCUGGCGGCACUAGCGCGGUGGUCCCACCUGACCCCAUGCCGAACUCAGAAGUGAAACGCCGUAGCGCCGAUGGUAGUGUGGGGUCUCCCCGGCGAGUAGGAACUGCCGGGC
rnacentral:rRNA from 1 species